AGCAGCCGCGGUAAUUCCAGCUCCAAUAGCGUAUAUUAAAGUUGCUGCAGUUAAAAAGCUCGUAGUUGAAUUUCGGGACCAAUAUGUCGGUCGUGCCUCGGUACGUACUGGCAUCGUUGGUUUCUCCUUUCUGAAGAACCAUGAUGUCAUUUAUUUGGUGUCGUGGGGAAUCAGGACUGUUACUUUGAAAAAAUUAGAGUGUUUAAAGCAGGCUCACGCUUGAAUACAUUAGCAUGGAAUAAUGAAAUAGGACGUUUGAUUCUAUUUUGUUGGUUUCUAGGAUCGACGUAAUGAUUAAUAGGGAUAGUUGGGGGCAUUAGUAUUCAAUUGUCAGAGGUGAAAUUCUUGGAUUUAUUGAAGACUAACUACUGCGAAAGCAUUUGCCAAGGAUGUUUUCAUUAAUCAAGAACGAAAGUUAGGGGAUCGAAGACGAUCAGAUACCGUCGUAGUCUUAACCAUAAACUAUGCCGACUAGGGAUCGGAUGAUGUUAAUUUUUUUCAAUGACUCAUUCGGCGCCUU
rnacentral:misc_RNA from 1 species